UACAGAGGGGGCAAGCGUUGUUCGGAAUUACUGGGCGUAAAGGGCGCGUAGGCGGCCUGCUAAGUCGAACGUGAAAUCCCUGGGCUCAACCCAGGAACUGCGUCCGAUACUGGUUGGCUUGAAUCCGGGAGAGGGAUGUGGAAUUCCAGGUGUAGCGGUGAAAUGCGUAGAUAUCAGGAGGAACACCGAUGGCGAAGGCAGAUCUCUGGGCCGUAACUGACGCUGAGGAGCGAAAGCGUGGGGAGCGAACAGG
rnacentral:rRNA from 1 species